CUAACUAAGAGAGAAACUCGAAAAUAAAACUAUGAGUAUGACUACAGAGUCUCUAGGCAUCCCCUUCGUCGUCCUCCUGCGGAACGGGCUCGGGAACCAUGUCUUCCUGAUCUGAAAUGGUUAAAUAAGGAGUGAGCUACACUAACCCAGUAAGAACAUCACGAUAUCUCACCGUCACGGAGGUAAAGGUGGGUAGAAAAACACAAAAGACCAAUGGAGCAUGAUUUACAACAAAUCCUUUUCAUUUAUGAUAAAACCUUUACUAUCCACUUACCUCGGUGGAAUUCAUGAAGCAAUAUAAGAACACAAUAACAUUAUCACAAACAUGGAAUAAUAUAAGCUGUAAAACAUAGCACUUAUCACGCCUUUUGUAAUUCAAUCAUUAUACAACAUAUCAUUUUCUCAU
rnacentral:lncRNA from 1 species